UACAGAGGUCUCAAGCGUUGUUCGGAUUCAUUGGGCGUAAAGGGUGCGUAGGCGGCGCGGUAAGUCGGGUGUGAAAUCUCGGAGCUUAACUCCGAAACUGCAUUCGAUACUGCCGUGCUUGAGGACUGGAGAGGAGACUGGAAUUUACGGUGUAGCGGUGAAAUGCGUAGAUAUCGUAAGGAAGACCAGUGGCGAAGGCGGGUCUCGUGGACAGUUCCUGACGCUGAGGCACGAAGGUCAGGGGAGCAAACGGG
rnacentral:rRNA from 1 species